AAAGUAAGCAUGCACUUUUAGUUAGUUAUAUGAUAUAGUUUAUUUUUGCUGUCUUUUUCUUAGAAGUAUUUUAUUCAUGUUGUCAAGUUUAGAUGUUGCUUUUAUUCAUUUCUCGCCAUGAAAAUGGCAUGAAGUAUCAACCUGAAACUUCACGUUCAGUAAAUCUCUUUGAUAUAUUAAAAGGACCUUGGGCUGUAGACUCCAUUAAUGUUUCUGUUUUGCUCUUAGCUUCCUCACUGGGCCUGUGAUUUAUCGCCGCAGCGUGUUGGAACUGUGGACAGAGGGUCAUUUGCUUUCCUCCUGUCCUCCCCAGUGCACCCACCUGUACGCUACCGCUAUUCCUCCAGAGAACAAAAGCUCUCCGUAACAGAGGACAACACCAAGUACAUCUCCCUCACUGAGUUUAACACGACACGCCUGCAGGCAGCCAGUCAGGAUGGUACAAUGGUGCCUUUGACUCUCCUCCGCAUGCAGGCAUUAUCUGAGCUGCAUAAGGCUCCACUGCUCAUGCAUGUAUAUGGAGCUUAUGGUGUUGAACUCAAUAUGGCCUUCAGUCCUGAGAAGAGACUGCUGCUGGAGGACGGCUGGGCUCUGGCCUACUGCCAUGUCAGGGGUGGUAGUGAGCGUGGUCUAGCGUGGCGUCAAGCGGGUUCUGUGCUACAGAAGCGGAGGGGAGUGGAAGAUCUUGCUGCCUGCAUUUACUCUUCAUCACUUGGAAGUGUCUCAUCCUGCUCUUACCGCCCUCACUGCUCGCAGUGCUGGAGCUGUCCUAGCGGGGGUGCUGUGCAACCAUAACCCACAAGCUUCUUAAAGCUGUAACUCUACAGGCACCUUUUCUGGAUGUUCUUGGCACAAUGCAAGACCCUUCCUUGCCGCUUACUGUAGAGGAGAGAGGGGAGUGUGGAGACCCCCUUAUAAGAGAACACAUUGCCUCUUAUUGUCCCUGUCACAAUAUUAUACCUCAGCUUUACCCAUCCAUGUUGAUCACUGCAUACUCAGAGGACCGUAGAGUUUUUUUAACUGGGGUCAUGAAGUAUGUGGAAAGCCUAAAGAAGGUCAUCCAAGUGUGUACCACUCGGGUCAGUGUUAACGUCGCUUUGGAUAAAAGUGUUUGCUCACAUCCAGC